rnacentral:lncRNA from 1 species
AAUAUCUCAAAUAUUGAAAAAUUAUCAGUCAUUCAUCUUAAGUUUACCCUAUAAGCAAAUACAACAAAGUUUUGAAUUUGUUCAAUUAUUCGCUGUAAAUUUUGUAACUUGUAUCAACCAUCUACCAAAAUAUUAAUUAUCAUUUAUAAUUGAUGACGUUACAAAGAUAAUUAAAACAUUUAACAUGCUUGAUAAAAUAAUAAAAUAAUAAAAUAAUACUUUAGAAUAUGAAAACAUUCAAUUAAAUACACUUAAUAGUGUAAUUUCUUUCCUAAUUUUUAAAAAUGCUUUCUAAAUCACAAAUUUACAUAAUCAAACACCAUGCACAAAUUAUCAUAAACUCUUAUUUAUAAACACUCAAUCAAUCUAAUUCUUAAAUUCGAUUUUAUAAAUACUCAAUCAAACCUAUUUUACAGUGUCAUAACCACCAUUGUCUUUGAUCGUCGCUGCCGCUAUCGUUUCUACUAGCAUUAUAGAUUGCUACAACCAUGAUAAGACUCCUCAGUGGCCGGUCUUUGUAGCCCAAUGCAUGUUUUUAUCAAGUAACACAAAAAUGUUAGAGGAUUUAGUGAUAAAUGAUCUAAUACAAAAUUUGUGUUGUCUUUGCGAACCUAAAAAUUUAUAUAGAGACAAUAUAAGGAAGAAGACAAUGAGAUGUAUUUUAUAUUGUUUUUGGUUUUGUGUGGCUGAGGAAGGAUUUGAUACAAAUUGUGUAUACGGCUCAAAAUUGUUGGUGGAUUUUGAUUUGAAACAAAGAGUUUACUAGGUUGUUGGGUUUUGAUAUUUUAUUUUUUAAAAUAUUGUUUUAUUAUUCACGGUGCAAAUAAAAAAAUAAAAGCCCUUGAAUUUAAGGGUAAAAAUGAUUAUUUUACUUACAUUUUGUUAAAUAUUAUAACAAUGUUAAUAUUUUGGUGACGGUUAAUAUAAAUUCUAAAUUUAGGAUAGAAAAUUCAAUAAAAUUCAAAAUUUUAUAGCAUUUUUUUUUUUGUAUAAAAGAAUAAAUUUAAAGUGAAUGAUAGACCGUUACCUAAAUUGAAAGAUACUUUUAAAUAUUCUUAUCGUGUAAAUCUUUUAGUUGACAAUUGACACAAAUUACAAAUUUAAAGUUCAACAAUGUCAAGUGCAAUGGACUCUGGCUUGUUCUUAACUUCUUAUAAUCAUACAAGACCCAACGUUAACGUCAAUCAAAUGCAAUUUCAAAAUCCAUUAUUAUCACACAUAUAAAUCUGUCCAUCUACAAAACACGAAAUACGAAUUGCACAUUUUUGGUUCUUAAAACAAUUUCUUACUCCUUUGAAUUGUAAUUUACAUGACGCCAAACAGUAGUUGAAUGGAAGCAUUGUGAAUAUUGAAUAAUAGCAUUUUAUUUGAUUUGAUGUGUGUGAAAUUUAGGAGGACCACAUAAACUUUAGUCCACAAUGCUUCGGGACCAGGGUGUUCCCCCGCCGCGAAUAUUCACGUAUAAAUACUUCUAUGAAUAAACGAUUUGUUGUUAUAUUUUAGUCAUGCACGGGCCUUCUUGCGGCUUUAGGACAUGGGCAUCUCAAAUCCCAAUUGCGAACGCUUUGAAUUCGUCAUGAUUUCCUUUUCCUGAGAAAGAAAAAGUUAACAAACCUGGAGGUUGCCUCAGGGAUACUCUUACCAUAUAAUUUGAAAUUUUGAUGGCAUUUUCCCCUGAAGGGAUAAUUCUUGGCUCUGUGCUUUUUACCUGCUUCAAGUUGGAAAGCUCCCCCUAGAUGGUCCAUCCAAUUGCUUGAGAUCAUAAAUUAUUUCACAUGAUCUUUCUUUGUCCACUACUUCAUUUUGCAACUAGCUGCCGACGAUUUGCGAUAGACCCCAAUUUAACCGAAAUUACACAAGUGAGAAAUCACUUUUGUCUUGGGAUAAUAGGCUUGUAUGAGCGGGAUUCAUUAUCUGUGUACAGUGAUGCCUUAAUUGUCAUUAUCCCUUUUUUAUCCAAAAAAGAAAAAUCAUUAUUUGGAAUAUUUUAUACGUGUUGAUUGCUGGCUGACUCUGCUGUGCCCAAUUAAUGUGUAUAAUAACUAUACAAGUGUGGAAUCAUUAGGCCACUACAGGGUGAUAGAUGAUCUGACGAGCACUUGUCUAAUAUACGAGAGUACUUGGACACGCGGUGUAUUUUUGUUUAAAAUUUUAAGCUUUAGAUUAAUUGGAUAAUGCCACGUAGUACUGUCAUUUAUCAUCAGAUAAACACCGUCGUCUAUUAAAUCAUUAUAUAAUAAGAAAAAAACAUAUUUAUGAAUAAUAAAAAAAAGAGUAAAUUAAGAUAUAUAAAAUUUCUCACACAUGUACAUUCAUAUAUUUUAUAUGUAAAUUUAGCAACAUGUAUUUUAAAUAAUUUAAUAUUACGAAGUUAAGGUCUAAUUCUAAUAGUAAAGAGUAGUCUUACUAGAUUUCAGGUCCUAGAUUUGAGUUUUAAUUGGUUUUUUUUUUUUUUUGGUGUGUGUAUACAUAGACACAUAUAUGUAUAUAAUAUUAUGAACUUAUUAUAAUUAUUCCUUGAAAGUUAGGGGAUUUAUAAAAUUUAUGGGUGGAAAUAUCAUCACCCAUUAUAACAUAGGCAAAAUUUGAAAUUUGAAUCACCCUCUCAUGAAAAUGAUAAUCUUUAGAAUACCUGCCAAACUAUUUUAAACCUCAACUUACACCCCAUUUUUGUUAAGAAGUAAAAAAAAAAAAUUAUCAACUUGGCCCCAUUUUUUUAUUAUCUUUCUAACAAAAAUGAGGGUAGAUUGAAGUUUACAAUAAUUUGUAUUUUAAAGAUUAUUAUUUUAUAAGGGGGUGAUUUAAAUUUCAAAAUUUGUCCAUACUAUAAUGGGUGGUGAUGCUUCCGCCCACAAAUUUUUUAAAUCCCCCAACUUCCAAGAAAUAAUUAUAAUUAUUUCAUAAUAUUUAUAAAAAUAUGUAAAUAAAGAAGAAGUUUGGAAACUUAAUCAAAUAAAAUUUAACAACAAACUAUUAGAUAGAAGAGCUCAUGUUUCUUGGGUAAUUUAAUCAUUUUAUAUCAUUAGGGUAAAAUAGCCAAAUCAAACUUAUCCUAGAAUAGCAUUAAUAGCCAAACAUAUAUAUAUAUAUAUACACACACACGCACACUUCGAAUUCCCACAGACACAAUUAAAGAUGUAGAUCACGGAAUGAAAAAUUCCACACAAAAGAAGUAUGAUAAAUAUGAUGCAAUUCUCAAUAAAUUGGCAACAUUAAAUUGAAGGAGACAAAAUAAUAUUAUGAAAAGAAAGAAAGUCUAUAGUAAUUUUACAAUAAAAAAUUACUUACUUUAGUUAAAAAAUACUUUAUUUUAGUUAAAAAAUAUAUAUUCUAAUUAGUAUAUUUUAUCUAAUACAAUAUCAAAAAAUAUAUAUAUUUUUUACUAAAAAAUAUAUUUUGAUACAAUAUAUUUUAUCAUUGAAAUCUUUACAUUUUUAUCUUUCAAAAUAUUAGGGGAUUAAAAAUACUAUAUAUAUAUAUAUAUAUAUAUAUAUAUAUAUGACAAUCUCUAUCUUACAUACAUGUAAAAUACACUCCCUUCACAUGAAUAGUGUAUGUGUGGGAAUUCCGGUCAAUGCUGUAUUGCUGUUGUUUGUACACACACCAAGGGUGCAUUUGGCUGGGGGGAGUUGAGGCCGUACAAAUAACGCGACACAUAUAAUAACAUUUCUUUCCGGGGGCAUUUUUUUAAUCUCCAUUUUCAAUCUUUUUAUUUGUUGAAAAAGAAAAUCAAAUGAAAGAUCGCAAAGCAAACACGGCCUAAGAUGCUGCGUACAUGCGGACACGAAACUAAAUGAUAUUGGUACAGACAUGGGCUUGAUAUUGUUUGUGGGCUCCAACCACAACCAGUAUAAGUACUGGGCACCGUGUCUCCAAUGGUGGGCCUCCUAGAAUAAUUCUGUCUGCCAUGAAAUUACAAAUUUGGCCUUUCAUUUUUUUCUUUUUCCUUUCAAGGAGACAAACCUUUCGUUCUUAGAUGCUAACGAAGCUCGUCAACUUUGAAGGCCCCGCAGACCAAUAUCCCUCGUAGAUGUCUCCCAAUAAUUUAUAGGAGUAGUUUUUUUAACUUAUGUCUCCACAGAUAUUUAGGAUGCAUUUCAUAUGAGCGUAUCUAAACACACUGAUAUUAAUUCAUAAUGUAUAUAUUUAUUAUAUAACAAUUAGAGGAAGAGAAAAAUAAUAAUAAUAACUGAGGUUAUUUCAUGUAUCCAUCCAUCCAUCCCUUGAUACCAUAUUACCAUCCAUCAGAUAAUCGGAUAACAUUAAAAAAUCUUUUGAUGAACUUUUGUAAAAGAUUUAUGAUAUUAUUU